rnacentral:misc_RNA from 1 species
GAUGAAGAACGCAGCGAAAUGCGAUAAGUAAUGUGAAUUGCAGAAUUCAGUGAAUCAUCGAAUCUUUGAACGCACAUUGCGCCCGCCAGUAUUCUGGCGGGCAUGCCUGUUCGAGCGUCAUUACAACCCUCAGGCCCCCGGGCCCGGCGUUGGGGAUCGGCGGAGCCCCCCGUGGGCACACGCCGUCCCCCAAAUGCAGUGGCGGUCCCGCCGCAGCUUCCAUCGCGUAGUAGCUAACACCUCGCGACUGGAGAGCGGCGCGGCCACGCCGUAAAACACCCAACUCUUCUGAAGUUGACCUCGAAUCAGGUAGGAAUACCCGCUGAACUUAAGCAUAUCAAUAAGCGGAGGA